rnacentral:rRNA from 1 species
GCAGAACAGCUGGCGGCGUGCUUAACACAUGCAAGUCGAGCGGAAAGGCCUCCUUCGGGGGGUACUCGAGCGGCGAACGGGUGAGUAACACGUGAGUGAUCUGCCCCCUACUCUGGGAUAACUGCCUGAAAGGGUGGCUAAUACCGGAUGUGACUGACUGCUGCAUGGUGGUUGGUGGAAAGGUUUUUUCUGGUGGGGGAUGUGCUCGCGGCCUAUCAGCUUGUUGGCGGGGUAAUGGCCUACCAAGGCUUUGACGGGUAGCCGGCCUGAGAGGGUGACCGGCCACACUGGGACUGAGACACGGCCCAGACUCCUACGGGAGGCAGCAGUGGGGAAUAUUGGACAAUGGGCGGAAGCCUGAUCCAGCAACGCCGCGUGAGGGAUGACGGCCUUCGGGUUGUAAACCUCUUUCAGCACAGGCGAAGCUGCCACUACGUGUGGUGGUGGUGACGGUAUGUGCAGAAGAAGCACCGGCCAACUACGUGCCAGCAGCCGCGGUAAUACGUAGGGUGCGAGCGUUGUCCGGAAUUAUUGGGCGUAAAGGGCUCGUAGGCGGUUUGUCGCGUCGGGAGUGAAAUCCACUGGCUUAACUGGUGGCUUGCUUUCGAUACGGGCAGACUGGAGGUAUGCAGGGGAGAACGGAAUUCCUGGUGUAGCGGUGAAAUGCGCAGAUAUCA